rnacentral:ncRNA from 2 species
AGGGCCCCGAAAAUGAAUGGCGCAUAUAGUACUACCGAUCUCAGACAUCAGUUCUAUUGAACUGAGAGUAGGGGGAUGUGGACAUUUUGUGAAGGUGCAAUGUGAGUUGGACUGGAAGAAUGUCUAUUACAGAUCCUAAUUGAAGUAGCGAUUAUCCAGGCUUGUAUCCUGGGGGCUGAUGAGGAGUAGGGUUUCUGGACAACUUAAACAGAUCCAGAGUUAGUCGAUCCUAAUCUCAAUAAUGGGAGAAAGGGAGUACAGUUGAUAUUCUGUAACUGACAACAGUUCGCGGCAACGCAUACUAUUUUUCUCCGCCAAUCUUAUACCGUUGGUAGGGAUCUCUUUCCUACAUGACAGUACUAAUACCCAGGGAAACUGGUCAUCAGGCGAACUGCGGCGUUCUGCUGGCAAAACAUAGCUUCGGUUAUGUCAAUGGCUAUUGGAUUGGUCCAUGAAGCGAAAAAUAGUUUACUGUGUCACUCGUACCGAUAACCGCAUCAGGUCUUCUAGGUAAGUAGCCUAUGGCCAUUGAGGCAUGAUAGUUCAGGGAAUUCGGCCAAUUAGAGCUGUAACUUCGGGAUAAAGCUUGGCUCUGAUGAAAAUCAGAACCGAUUGUUACGCGGAGAGCCCAACUGUUUAAUAAAAACGUAGUGUCGCGCUGUGGUAGUAUAGCCAGUGAACGCGACAUGAAUCCUGCUCAGUGCUGUGUCUGUUAAUAUGGUUCAAGCCAACGAAGCACCGGUAAAUAGCUGGGGUAACUAUGACUCUUAUCAAAGUAGCGAAAUACCUCGUCACUUAAUUAGUGACCUGCAUGAACGGAGCUAUGAGGUUCUCACUGUCCCAAACUGUCUCUCAGCGAACCAACUGUAGUGGGAACGGUCACUAGAUAUCCAGCGGGGAAAGAAGACCCUGUAGAGCUUCACUUUGGUCUAGUCUUGUAUAGUUCCUGCGGGGGUGUAGACUAGGUGGGAGAGCAAUCGAUUCUGAAAAACCACUACCC